rnacentral:rRNA from 1 species
CUUAGUACGGCGAGUGAAGCGGCAAAAGCUCAAAUUUGAAAGCUAGCACCUUCGGUGUUCGCGUUGUAAUUUGAAGAUAGUUUCCUUGAGUAGUCCUUUAUCUAUGUUCCUUGGAACAGGACGUCAUAGAGGGUGAGAACCCCGUAUGAUUUUGGAUACUACUCUUUGUGGGAUUCUAUCGAAGAGUCGAGUUGUUUGGGAAUGCAGCUCUAAGUGGGUGGUAAAUUCCAUCUAAAGCUAAAUAUUGGCGAGAGACCGAUAGCGAACAAGUACAGUGAUGGAAAGAUGAAAAGAACUCUGAAGAGAGAGUGAAAAAGUACGUGAAAUUGCUGAAAGGGAAGGGCUUGAGGUCAGACUUGGUGUUUAAUGAUUAUCAGUUCUUCUUGGACUGUGCACUCGUUUUUCACCGGGCCAAUAUCAGUUUUAGCGGUAGAGUACCCCUUGAAAUGUGGCUUCCUUCGGGGAGUGUUAUAGUCUUGGGGAGAUCUACUUGCUGGGACUGAGGACUGCGCUUCGGCAAGGAUAUUGGCGUAAUGACCUUAAGCCGCCCGUCUGAAA